AAAUAUCUAUAUAUCAUUGUCUAGUCAAACGAUUAUUAAAAUUUCAAAGAUUCAUCCUCCAUUUCAUGUUUUGGUUAAUUUUUUUCUCCAAAAAGGCAUUAUUAAAAAAGGUUAAACUUAUGAUUUUGUUGUAAUUGAUACUUUAACUUCAACCUUUUUCUUUAAAAAACUCUAGAUUUUUUUUUUAUUUGGUAUUGUAUUGAAAUCAAAUGAUUAAAUGUUAAGAUAUAGUUUGUUUUUAUUAGUAAUUUAUUGAAAUUGUAUUAAAUUUGAUAUUGCAUAUUUAAAUAUUCUAAUUCCUGCAGGUACAUGUUUAAAAAAAUACUUGUGAACAUAUGUAUUUAAAAAAAUAUUGUUUGUCCAAAAAUGUUUUGGAAAAAAAAAACUGUUUACCAUAAACUUAAGAUUUGUAAUUUCUUUUUACUGUAACAUCAGUCGAGUUGUUCUCUGAUAGUUGUCUUGACAUCAAUUCCAUUACUAUCACCUCACACCAAAUCCCAGUCAAUAAACAGUG
rnacentral:sRNA from 1 species